UUUUAAUUAUUAUUUCAAUUCGUCUGAAUGUCUUAGAGAUCCAGAUUGGCAAUAAGUUUUCCAUUUUUCUGUUCUCUUCUCUUUUAUUCUAAAAGUAGCAUACCUCUUAGCCCACUGGCAGCAAUGUUGACACCUUGAGAUGCCAUGAGACCUAAAGCCUGCCUGUUAAUGUUUGAACUUCAACUCCUGUGUUGUCAAUCUUUUCUUACACCUCCGAAAACAAUGGCUUUUCACUCAACUUUUCAUUGAGCUUUUCUACACCACUGCUCAAAGUUGUGUCAAGAAAAUGUAAUAAAGGAGCAAGACGCUCA